rnacentral:ncRNA from 1 species
UGAUAAUGGCACACCAAUCGUGAGGUUGGGUCGCAAAGCUUCCGGUCUUACAAAAGACAGCGGGGUUACCUA